rnacentral:rRNA from 1 species
AGUGACCUGUCUAAAGGAUCAUUACCGAGAGAGGGGCUUCGCGCUCCCGGGGGUCUCGGCCCCCAACUCUUACCCAUUGUCUACCUACCUUUGUUGCUUUGGCGGACCUCGGGGUACCUCCCGCGCCGACUUUCGGGUCGGUGCGCGUCCGUCAGAGGCCCAUUAAAAUCUCUCAUCAGUGAUGUCCGAGUAUCUAUAUAAAUAUAGUCAAAACUUUCAACAACGGAUCUCUUGGUUCCAGCAUCGAUGAAGAACGCAGCGAAAUGCGAUAAGUAAUGUGAAUUGCAGAAUUCAGUGAAUCAUCGAAUCUUUGAACGCACAUUGCGCCCCUCGGUAUUCCGGGGGGCAUGCCUGUUCGAGCGUCAUUGCACCCCUCAAGCGUUGCUUGGUAUUGGGUUCUCGCCCCCGCGGCGUGCCCGAAAAGCAGUGGCGGUCCGGCGUGACUUCAAGCGUAGUAAAUUCUCUCCCGCUUCGAAAGUUCGCGUCGUGGCCGGCCAGACAACCCCAUUAGCUUCCAUAAUUGACCUCGGAUCAGGUAGGGAUACCCGCUGAACUUAAGCAUAUCAAUAAGNCGGAGGAAA